ACACUCCUGCGGGAGGCAGCAGUGGGGAAUUUUGGACAAUGGGCGAAAGCCUGAUCCAGCAAUGCCGCGUGAGUGAAGAAGGCCUUCGGGUUGUAAAGCUCUUUUGUCAGGGAAGAAACGGUGAAAGCUAAUAUCUUUUGCUAAUGACGGUACCUGAAGAAUAAGCACCGGCUAACUACGUGCCAGCAGCCGCGGUAAUACGUAGGGUGCAAGCGUUAAUCGGAAUUACUGGGCGUAAAGCGUGCGCAGGCGGUUUUGUAAGUCUGAUGUGAAAUCCCCGGGCUCAACCUGGGAAUUGCAUUGGAGACUGCAAGGCUAGAAUCUGGCAGAGGGGGGUAGAAUUCCACGUGUAGCAGUGAAAUGCGUAGAUAUGUGGAGGAACACCGAUGGCGAAGGCAGCCCCCUGGGUCAAGAUUGACGCUCAUGCACGAAAGCGUGGGGAGCAAACAGGAUUAGAAACCCUUGUAGUCCCAUGA
rnacentral:rRNA from 1 species